AUGGCCAAGUAUUUCCAGAGUGCUCCUGUUAGCAAUGAAGCAUUGAAGCACAAGGAGAUUCUCUUGGACGGCCUGUACAUGCACGAGGACCUUGACGGAUCACCAAAUCAGAACCAGAAAACUAUAGUGAAUCCUAAUCUCCCUCUGCAGUUUGGCUGCACCGUGGCUAAUGACUGGACCAUAUAUGAUGGCCUUGGCGCCGAUAAGAAGCUUGUUGCACGUGCACAAGGGCCACAUAUGGGGGCAGGAGUAGCCAAAGGAAGCUGGUUCAUAUGUUUCAACAUGGUGUUCGUCGACGACAGGUUUGCUCGGACAUUUUGA
rnacentral:rRNA from 1 species